ensembl:lncRNA
UCAGCACUCCAGGUGCAACCGCCAUGGCUUUCAGAUCUCUCCUCAUCACCUCGGCCUUGCUGGCCGCCGCCUCGGGCGCGGACCGGUCAGCUUGCAACGCAACAUGGUUUCUGACGUUGCCCUGCGGCGAAGCGGCCGGUGCCCUGGUGAGCCAGGGCAAAGCUUGGCGCACAAACCAGUGCUACGGCAACCAGGAGGAAUGCCAGUACGAGGAGUCCCCCGCAGCCCUUGAAAUCAGGCGAACAUCUCUCAGCACCCACAAAACCAACGAAAUUGCCUUUGAGUUCACCCCACCUCUGCCGCACCCCUUCUGCAAAAUCAGGGCCCGUUCCACAACGACGUCCCGGGCCGCCGGCCGGCCAAACGACUACUGCCUACUCCACCAUUUAAUGACCGGAAGUGGACUGACCCGUGCAGAAGGCUACGCAGAGACGUGCAAUGAGGCAAUGUGCCCCUCAAAGGCCUCGGCAACAUGCAACGGUGAAGAAUAAGUACUGCACGCUGAGUUUUUAAGUAUCGACGCGACGGAUUUUACUUUUAAACGCAUGUGUCAAGUCUAGAUCCAAACCACAGAAUAUAAUUGAACCUUUUUGUAUUGCUGAACCAUCAUAUAACAGAUGUAUAUUGUGCAAGAAUAAACCCCAGGUUCCUGAAUAAACACUUCUUCGGUGUGUCAUCUCGACU